rnacentral:rRNA from 1 species
UACAGAGGGUGCAAGCGUUAAUCGGAAUUACUGGGCGUAAAGCGCGCGUAGGUGGUUCGUUAAGUUGGAUGUGAAAUCCCCGGGCUCAACCUGGGAACUGCAUUCAAAACUGACGAGCUAGAGUAUGGUAGAGGGUGGUGGAAUUUCCUGUGUAGCGGUGAAAUGCGUAGAUAUAGGAAGGAACACCAGUGGCGAAGGCGACCACCUGGACUGAGUACUGACACUGAGGUGCGAAAGCGUGGGGAGCAAACAGG